CAUGGAUCGGAAGGGCCAGCAGGCUACCUUAGAAGUUACUCAAGGAUCUCCUCGGAAAGCACACCUCUUUAAUCCAACUGUGAAGCAACAGGGGGACAGGACGCCAGGCUUUUCCUUCCUCUCACAACGUUCUGCUUGAUCAACUCGACACCUUACGUGGAGGCGGCGUGGCUCAACACCUGCACCUGUGAGGACUUUGUAGCGCGUGAACCCUGC
rnacentral:lncRNA from 1 species